AUUGAACGCUGGCGGCAGGCCUAACACAUGCAAGUCGAGCGGAUGAAGGGAGCUUGCUCCUGGAUUCAGCGGCGGACGGGUGAGUAAUGCCUAGGAAUCUGCCUGGUAGUGGGGGAUAACGUCCGGAAACGGGCGCUAAUACCGCAUACUUCCUGAGGGAGCAAGUGGGUGAUCUUCGGACCUCACGCUAUCAGAUGAGCCUAGGUCGGAUUAGCUAGUUGGUGGGGUAAAGGCCUACCAAGGCGACGAUCCGUAACUGGUCUGAGAGGAUGAUCAGUCACACUGGAACUGAGACACGGUCCAGACUCCUAAGGGAGGCAGCAGUGGGGAAUAUUGGACAAUGGGCGAAAGCCUGAUACAGCCAUGCCGCGUGUGUGAAGAAGGUCUUCGGAUUGUAAAGCACUUUAAGUUGGGAGGAAGGGCAGUAAGUUAAUACCUUGCUGUUUUGACGUUACCAACAGAAUAAGCACCGGCUAACUUCGUG
rnacentral:rRNA from 1 species